rnacentral:sRNA from 1 species
AGAGCAGAAGGAGUCAGACAGGCUGGUUUCCAUGGCCUUGGGGCCGGUCACUUCCUUCUGUGAUUCCCAUGUUCCUCAUUUGAAGCGUGAAGAGAGUCCCCUUGGCCUUAAAAGGCACAUCUUCUCCGUUCAUUCAUUCAUUCACUCAUUCAUAGAAGAUGGCGUUUCCUAAGGAAUAGAUUGCUCUGUAUAGCGUCUAUCUUUGGGGGGGGGGCGUAAAAUGGGGUCAUUUGGUAGACAUAUUAUUUGCUCAGCAAACAUUUACUUGCCUAGCCCUCCCCACUUGGAGAGGGAUAGAAUUUCCUCACUCUGUUGAUAUUAGAUUUAGCCAUGUGACUUGCUGGAGACAGAAUACAGGCGGAAGCGGCAGCAGCCAGCUCCGGAGUCGCUGAGCCUCCCCUUUCCCACCUCUUGAGCAAUUGUCCUUGGCCAUGAGAAUACCAGAUAGCGGGAGUCCUUCAGCCGGACAAAGAAGGAGCAGACAAGGGAGACAGCUGUGUGUGACCCAAAGCUCGGAGGCCAGCCCGACCCAGCUAACCCACGGUGCUGAGAUUGAAUUUAGGGGCCUUGCACGUCUGGUCAAUCACUCCAGGACUGAUCUCCAUCCCUGUCUCUGGUUCUUGUAGUUCGCCGGUCUCACUGAGAAGCACAGGACUGUCCAGUUUAAUAUGAAGCUGAGAACUCUGUGUGGCUCCUGGCUGCCAUAUUGGAAAAUCCAUCUCUAGACACUCACGCCAUUGCAGAAAGAUCUGUUGGAUAGUACUGUUCUACUCUAGUGAGACAGCACACUCGGGAGUGUUGAUUGAUGUGCCUGGGGUGGUAUCGGUAUCGUGUAGUACUGCUUUUGAAGGCCUGCCUGAGUGGUCCCAUCUCUGUGGUCCAUAAAAUAAGUCUGGAAAGAUCCUCUGAGGGUCUCUGUCUUCAGCUGCCUGUGUCUGUAUGGCUGUCCAAGUCUGUCAGGCUCUUUGUCCCUUCUCCUGUCUCUAAGAAACACUUGCCUGCAGUUUUGGCUUGUCCAUCCUCAUUCUUCCGUCAUGUCCCAUCUCUUCCCCAAGUGUCUUUCUCCUGAUCCCAGAAAGCCUCAGGUUGGCUGAUCGCUUUGUUCCCCAUCAUCCAUUGCCUAGGCUUGAUGGAGGGAGUUGGGACCGUGCCUGGAGGUGAAGACCAGAAAGGGCAGCCCAAGUUGGUUCCUACUGAAUUGCUGCUGGAUUAUUUUUCUGUUUUCCUGAGCCAGGUCCUUGGGCCUAUCAAACGGUGACAUGGAAGCCUGCCCCUUCAUUUUAUUAUGCUAUUUAAAGGGAAACGGAACUGCCCAGGUGCCCGGCCCAUUAGCUAGGCUACCAACACUGUCUACCCUCCAACGGAGACCCUUAGCUCUCCGUUCCAUUCAGGGGCCCAUGCCCACCCCACCAAGGCUUCCUCCAGCAUCGGAAGGAACAAUUGCAAUUGUUCUUUGAAAUUGAUGCCCCAGACCCAGAGGAAGUCCCCACCCAUCUCUAUUGUGCAAGGAUGGUGUAACUACUGUGUUGUUGUUGUCCGAGUUUCACUCAACAGAUGUGGUGUGCUCUGAGGGAAUAUAGGCUCUACAAGAUGAUCGAAGCCCCUGCUUCUUUCUUGUCCAUCCUAGAGGACAACAGAAAGGAAAGGGGACUCAGGCGGGCAGAACUGUGUGGGCAAGGUGAGUGUCUAAAUCAGAUGACCUUUGUGGACCCCAUAGCUACCCCUGUUCUCUGGGGACUGAAUCUCAGCUCCCUACCAGCGAGCUCUGCUGCCCCCCAAAAUUCAGUUGCUGGUAUUGCUCCGUAUUUCUCUGAGCUGAGACCUCUGACCUUCACUUCAGGACAAGGUAGAUUUGGACGGCUGUGGAGAGUGAGCGCUGGCGACAGUUGAGCAGUUUGUCAAGUGGAGACACCAAGUGGUCAGACUCUGGAACAGCAAUGGCCAAGCUGAACUGUGGAGCAAGGUGGCAGCUACUGUCUGAGCCCUGAUCCAGAUAUAGUUGACUGUUGCUUCUGAAGCUACAAGAAACCUUGUCUUGACUGAGUCCUGACCCAGUUGCUGAUGGAAUUCUAACCAUAGUCUAGGCAGAGAGAGAGUCUGUCUUCCUAAACAGUAUGUUCUUCCUUCCUUCCUUCCUUCCUUCCUUCCUUCCUUCCUCUCUCUCUC